rnacentral:lncRNA from 1 species
GUUUGUUCUGCAGGCCCCAAUGAUGGCACAGGCAUGAAAGAGCCCAGAGCUCAUCGCUGGGGAGAGGCUGCGUAUGGCGUUGUGAAGGGAGAGAUGGAGGAGGGGUUUGAGCAGCGCUGUGCAGGAAUGAACGGCUGGUAAGAGAAGAGGUGUGUGUGCUGAGAGCAAGGGCUGUACGGCUCCUCUCUGUGUUCUCACAGGAAGUGCACGGCAGAGCUCCUUGCUCUCUGUUCUUUCUUGCAAGGCUGCGGCGCUUCAAAGUGCGCUGUGGGUGGGCAGCGCGAUGACAGCCCAAGGGUGGCACCAGGAGAUGCAGCGCAGCCCUCUGCAGCAGCAGGGUGCAUUGAUUGGUCUUGCUCAUUCUUGAAGGAGAAGGUGUGUUUAGCUGCCAACUUUGGUGGCUCCAUGGCAUGUGCUGAAGGCUUUGGGGCCCUUCCUGUGUUCCUCACGUCCUGAGGCAGUGAAGGACUUCCCUUGCUCUGUAGGAAUGGUUCCUGUGCAAGGGCAUGGUCGUCUGCCUGUAGCAGAUACUGAAGGUUGUGGUGUUGUGACUGCAGUGAUGGAGUUGGCUUUAGAAUGGCAAUUGCACUCUGCUCACGUGCAGCUCUUUCUGACACAGGCAGGAGUCGGGCAGCGGUACUGCAGCUCCUCUGGCAGCUUUGCAGCACAGCUGGGAAGCAGAAGAUGUGGAUGUGAAAGAAGAAGUCCGUUGCUGGGACGUUUCCCUGUUCUUCCCCCAGCUGUCCCCUUGCCUCAGCCUGGAUUCCCCUUGCAUUCCGGUAGGAUUCCCUUCCAUCCCCCUGGCUGCCCCUUGCUUUCCACAAGGCUGCCCUUUCCUUUCUCAUGACAGCGCACCCAUCAUUCCCUCAGAGCCCCAAUAUCCCUCCCAGUGUUUCCCAGCAAGACCCCUAGAGACACCCUGUAGCCCCCCAGUGAGCCCUGGAGCCCCUCGAGGACCCCCUCAGACCCAGUACACCUCCCCCGUAGCUGGCCCAUUCUCACAUGUACCCUCACAGUCCAUAGCAGCACCCCAUGUCCCCCACUGGACAUGGGAAUUCUCCUAUUCCAUUCCAUGGAAUCCUCCUAUUUCCUCCCUCAGACCUCCUUUACACCUCCAAGAUCCCCCCUGGGAACUCACUGACCCCCAUGGUCCCUGACAGGACCCCAUCACCAUCCCAGGAC